UCCUGGUUUCCCAGGCAGUCCCAUCAGAGUGCCUUCUUACGAAGUUGCAACUGACAGCAGGGGUUGCGCUCGUUAUAGGACUUAACCCAACAUCUCACGACACGAGCUGACGACAGCCAUGCAGCACCUGUGUAUAUGUCCAUGGUUUCCCAUGGAAGACUCUAUCUCUAGAGCUGUCAUAAACAUGUCAAACCUAGGUAAGGUUCCUCGCGUAGUGUCGAAUUAAACCACAUGUUCCACCGCUUGUGCGGACCCCCGUCAAUUCCUUUAAGUUUUAAUCUUGCGACCGUAGUCCCCAGGCGAAUCACUUAUCGCGUUAGCUACGACACUAAUUCUGCAGAGCAGAACUAACGUCUAGUGAUCAUCGUUUACAGCGUGGACUAC
rnacentral:misc_RNA from 1 species